UACGUAGGGUGCAAGCGUUAAUCGGAAUUACUGGGCGUAAAGCGUGCGCAGGCGGUUUAUCAAGACAGGCGUGAAAUCCCCGGGCUCAACCUGGGAACUGCGCUUGUGACUGGUAGGCUAGAGUGUGGCAGAGGGGGGUGGAAUUCCACGUGUAGCAGUGAAAUGCGUAGAGAUGUGGAGGAACACCGAUGGCGAAGGCAGCCCCCUGGGCUAACACUGACGCUCAUGCACGAAAGCGUGGGGAGCAAACAGG
rnacentral:rRNA from 1 species